rnacentral:lncRNA from 1 species
GCAGAGGCCAUAGAGCAUCACCCAAACCUGCAUUUUCAUUGAGCCUGGCGCAGCAAGCAUCAAGCCUGGCUUGAUGUCCUGUAACAAUACCAAUUUUCUGUUUUCCUUGCACAAUUCAAAGGCAAUAACCAACAUGUCACUUACAUGCAUGAUAUCAACUUCUUUGUCUUUUUGCAUAUUCUAAAUAUUAAAGAAUAUAGUUAAAUAUAUGUUAUACCAAUGUGUAAAAAUUCUUGGCAAGAUAAAAUUUAUUUAAAUAUUUCUAAAACAUUCAAAAACAUCUCUUUAUCAAAAAUAUUAUAACAUCUUUACAAAUAUUGCACAAUAAUAUAUAACGCAUCAUUUCCAAUCAUUCAAUUCAAUACAUGUAAAAUAAACCUUGUUGAGCUUGUAAAAGUACACUUAAAAGUUUAAAUCCCACAAUUCUAGUAUUUUGGCAAAAACUCAAUCAUGAUGUUGCCUAUAGUAACCUCUCCUUUACCUACCUUAGGCACCAAGGUAACCACCAAAUCAUCAUCUACAUCAACUUCCAAAUUCUCUACCACUUUUGAUAUACCUACCUUAAAACUAGUGCUAGUUUUACCAUUAUGCCCAUGGUGCAAACUAACAAAACUUCCCACAAACUCUACUUGAUCAGGGUCACUCAAGUCAUCUUCAACAUCAUCAACAUGAANN